rnacentral:misc_RNA from 1 species
GCAAACUUGGUCAUUUAGAGGAAGUAAAAGUCGUAACAAGGUUUCCGUAGGUGAACCUGCGGAAGGAUCAUUACCGAGUACCGGGACUUCGGUCCCUACUCCCACCCAAUGCGUACCUGAAAUGUUGCUUUGGCGAGCCGGUGAUUCUUCGCCGCCGACUUCAGUUGGACAGCGCCCGCCAGAGAACUUUUUAAACUCGAUUUAACCAAAAGUCUGAGUAAAAAACAAAUGAAUCAAAACUUUCAACAACGGAUCUCUUGGUUCUGGCAUCGAUGAAGAACGCAGC